UGUUUAACAAAGAGAAGCAAAGCCGCGAGGUAGAGCAAAUCUCAAAAAAACAUCUCAGUUCAGACUGCAGGCUGCAACUCGCCUGCACGAAGUCGGAAUUGCUAGUAAUCGUAGGUCAGCAUACUACGGUGAAUACGUUCCCGGGCCUUGUACACACCGCCCGUCAAACCAUGAGAGUUGGCAACACCCGAAGUCGGUAGUCUAACCGCAAGGAGGACGCCGCCGAAGGUGGGGUUGAUGAUUAGGGUUAAGUCGUAACAAGGUACC
rnacentral:rRNA from 1 species